rnacentral:lncRNA from 1 species
GAAUCCCAUUUUACGGAUAUGCUUGGCGAUUGGUAAACGCGAAUAAUCAUGGGAUCCUGGCUCCGGCAAAUGGAGCUGCCGGUCCGGAUAAUGGAGUCGAGCGGUACCAAGAUAUAAGGACCUUUGUAGCUCAAACCCCGGGGGCGGUUGUGGUGUAUAAUUCCACAUAUGUCUGCAAUUACUGCUAUGCUGGAACAACAUGGAUCGGUUAUGAUGAUAAUCAAACAGUUUCCACCAAGGUUUCAUAUGCUAAACAAAAUGGACUUCUUGGGUACUUUGCUUGGCAUAUUGGAGCUGAUGACAACUUGGCACUAUCACGACAAGGUUAGUUAAUGGAGUGAUUCCAAGAUAAGCAAUUCCCUGUCUGAUUACAUUUAUCAUUUAUGGAGAAAAUGACCUCAUACGCCCUGAAAAAUUGAGUCUCUAAGGGUCCGUUUGUUUCAGGUGAAAAUGUUUUCCAGGAAAAUAUUUUCCUAAUUUCCCGUGUUUGGUUGCACAAAAGUUAUUGAAAACAUUUUCCUCUGUAAAAUAUUUUCACUCAUCUUAUGGAAAACAACUUCCCUUCCAAACUUACUGAAGUUAUUUUCCGAAAUGCAUGCAUCCCGCCUGUAAUAUAUUCCAAACUUACUGAAAACAUCUUGUAGUAUGUUCUUUUUUUUUUGUUAGUGUAAACAGGAGGAUUCGAACCCAAGAUCUCUUCCUUACAUUCCCUCCCCCGUAUCACCCAACCCAACCCUCCUCCUAGUAUAUUCAAAAAAAAAAAAAAAAAAUCUCAUCCUGCUCAUCCUAUGCUAGUAAUUAAUUAUGUAUAAUAGAGACAUUCUUUUCUAGAGAAACUUUCAGUAGUGAGAGUGCAAGAUAUAUGUCACAAUAAGCAUUGCAUGUGAUUGAUAUUUGAUACUAAAUGACCAGCAAUUUGUUUAUUACUUAAGGAGAUAUUUUUUUAUUCAUGUAUACAUUUCUCCAAGAUUUUUUCAAAAUUAAACAAUGAAAUAAAUUUUCUUAUUUUGCAUGGGAAGAAGUAUGUAGUUAUAAUGUGUAGAAAGUAAAGAUAGAUAUAAAAGUGAAAAUAUUUCAAAAGUUAAACAAACACCAGAAAAAUGAAGUAAGAAAAUAUUUUCAAUAAGUUAACCAAACACCUGAAAAUGAUGAAAGGGAAAUGAUUUUCAUGGAAAAUUACUUCCACGGAAAAUAUUUUCCCAAGGAAAACAUUUUACUUCCAACCAAACAGACUCUAAGUGUACCUAAUAACUGGCUAUGGAACAUUGUCCAUCGAGCUAAUAUUUUCCUGUGCCUAGAAUUGAAUGUAUGUUUUUUGGAAUUUUUUCAUUUACAACAUUUAAGAAGUACCCUUUUUAGCAAAUGGUAUUUGCAGUCCUUACAUAAUAUUUCUCUGGUAUUAUACCUUUUUUCUUGUAACAAAAUGCUAAAAGUGGAGUCUAAAAAACUAUUUUUGAAGUGCAAAUAUCUCUUACCUUUUUUUUUUAACUUGUUCAUUUGUAUAUACAUCAACAAUAUCUCAAAGUUUCUACAAUUCUCAUAUUUGUUACUAACACUUAUUUUUUACUUGAAUGUAGCUAGCCAAGCAUGGGGAGCAUGAAGUGGUGGUGGAAGUCAUUUGACGUUCCUUAUAAUAAGCCAAAAGAGAACUGGCAUUGUUGAAUAAUAAUAUCAUUGAUAUGUGUACUCCAUCAAAGUAUAAAUAAAUGCCUUAGAGUUUGAAAAAUGAUUUUCGUCCUGUGGAGACAAAUUGCAAACUGGCAUCUGGCUAAAUCAAGGAUUAGGCCUUAAGCCUUUCUGACUAAGUAAGGCGAAGAAAGCAAAUAGAAAUCGAAACAAUUAAAAGAAUGUGUUGCCGUGUCAAGAUCAUCUUAUAUUGACUUGAUAUGCUUGUCAAAAUAUAUGACACCGUCAUAGGAGAAUUGAUAUCCAGUAUGAAGAAGUCCAGGCUUUUCAAUUAAUUGACUGGUCAUUAGAGUAAAUUGAGAAUUAAGACAUUCGCUAAUGGAUAUAGAUUGACAAAAGUUGUUAGUUGUUAACCAUACUUUGCCCGACUGAAGUAAGGGGUUCAUCACACUUUGCCCAUAAAGAACAAAUUGAAUAUGUAGCAACGGACAUUAACUUUUUAACAUCCUAAAAGCAUGUGAAUUUUUUGUUUUUUUUUUCUUCCAGUUUUGCGUCAAAAUGAUUCCUAACCAAAGGCUAGGCUACUUCAGUAGCCGUUCCCUAACACUUGCAGAAGAUGGUCAAAGCGGCAAAAAUUCUCAAAAUUUAGCAAAACAAUCGCAGUCUUACUUUUGCAUUUUCUAUUUUUUGAAGGAAAAGAUACUGAGCCAAAGCAGUAAAAGAAGGAAUUUUGCUGGUCAUCUAGCAUUGGCACUUCUAUUCUUGAAAGGCCAAGAGCAUCUGUGAGGGAAGCCAGAUAUUAUUUUGACUUCAAUAGCUAUAGCACCUCUAAAAUUACUUGCAUGGAUCUUCUAGCCGCAUCAAUCUGUUUAAAUUUUCGUUUUCUUUUGUUUGUGCCUUGUAGUUCCACUACAGGAAAAUAGGCUUUUUGUGACGUUUUCGCUGCGGCACAAGAAGAAAAUGCAGCAAAUAAAGAGCACAUUUCAAAUUGUGUGGCAAGGUUGAUAAAGGGGCAUAAUUUUUGUGGCAAAACGACGUAGUUUUAAUAAAUCCAGAGUAAAGAAAAGGGAAAACGCCUUUCACUUCCAAUGUCUCCUUCAUUCUCCGCUAAUUUCAAAACCCCCCACUUCUUUCUUCUAAACUCUAAAUUCUGAUUCCAAAUUCCCAAUGACCUUGUCUCGCUUUCUGUCUCUCUCUCUCAAAUGGUCAAAUCUAAUUCCACCUCCUCCAUUUUCCACCCAAUACAGCCAACGAAUAUGCGGCAACCACCUUCAUCUUUGAGAUACAGAGGAAAUCUGGAAGAGUAGACAGAUUGAUUGCUAAUUGGUUUUGACGCCUGAAGCUAGGGUUUUAACGCGAGGAAGAUGGACCUCCUCCAUUUUUAUUCUCAGCAGUUGAAGUCGAUUCCCAAUUGCAGCGUUUCUUCCUUGUUGUUGUAUCUCUCUUUGUUGCUCUUCUUCUUUGUCUCUUUCCAAUUCUAAAGACUCGAUCACAUUCUCAAAGGAAUAUGGUGAGAUUUAUAGCUAACGAUAGUUUUAUCUCAAUUUUGUGUUUGUUCUUAGGUUUAAUGACUUCUGGCAUGAUUUUGAGAAAUUAAACAGUUUCAGGUCACUUUGCCAAAAGUGAAUAAAUUGGUUUUCACUGGCUGGAUUUGCUUCUCCAUGUAAUUUUUAUCAUCGGUUAACUAAUUUUAGCUUUGAGAGAACUUACCCAACAAUUUUGCUAGCUAUUCUGGUUCAAAAGCAAGGUAAUUAAGCUCAAUUCCUUUGCGAUUUUUUUCACUUUAUUCAUUUAUUUUAUGGCAUAAUCAAGAGAAUUUAUUACAUGCCCUUAGUGCUCAGGAGUUUAUAGACUUUUGUGGUUAUUUUUAUGUAUUUUUUGUAAUUCUUUAAAAUAUUUUUAAUGCGACCUAAGGGGAGAUAAUAGGAGUUUACUCUCGUUUUAAAGAGUCCAGCCCAUAUUGCAGAUGGACAAUGGAAUCGCCUGAGAAACUCAAUACAGUCGUUGUCUUGAAACAACGAGAUAGCAGCCGUUGGCAGAAGGUACAUUUGAAGCUUUAGUGCACUCCAUCCUCUAGUUUAUAUAUUUGUCCGAUUAUCAUGCUACUGAUAUUAGGUGUUAUUUGUAAUUCUGUCAUAAAUGCCUGUAAACAACUCUCCCUGUUCUUGGAGACUGGGGACACACAAAUAGUUUAGGAGAAAUCCCAACUUUGGAGCAUAAUCAUUUCAAGAAAGUGGAAAAUGACAAUCAAGUAUUGCUGUUUUAGACCAAGUAAUUCCUGAUUUAAUCCUUAAAAAUGGUUACAAGGCAUACAAACUACUUAAAAAUGCACUUGCUUAUGGUAGCAAGAAUUUUUGCGUCACACUAUGAUAUGGUAUGAUAAUAUUGUAACACAAAAUUGUUAAGCAUGAUUGCCUCUACGGGUAUAAUAUUAGGCCCACCUUCUCUCAUUAUUAACUUGGUGUUACUACUUGUAGCAACUUUGGUUAAUUCUUUUACGAGUUCCAGUUUCUUAUAUGUGUGUGUGUUAUUCUGCCCAGAUUAAUACAUGCAAUGGCUUCUAGUUGGCUAUAUCCCAAAUAAGCUUAUAAACCCAGGAUGCAGACUGAAGACUGGACUGGCUGGUAAAUUAUUGCUUAUUUUUUCAUAGAUGGGUUGACAAAAUUUUUGAAGUUUUAUAACAGGAAAUUCACUGUCUUAUGUCUUCAUUUGCAUGCUACUUCCCAAAUAAGCUUAUAAACUCAAAAUUUUUGAAGUUUUUAUGCAAAAUGGUCUGUUUUCUUACGAGAAAGUUUGGGGAUCUAUUUAGUAGAAGACAAGUGCUAAACUUCUCCUUCAAUUAUGUCCCUUUAACCUUGUGAUCUAUAUCAAUUCAUGCGCUCAAUAUACCUAUAAGGGUACCACUACUAAUGGUAGGAAGGUUGUGCUCAAUAAGCUUGGGUUGUCCAGAUGCAAGGUAAUUAAGCUUAUAUGAUCUGCAAUUCAUUUUUAUUUAUAUGCACCUUUUAUCAUAUUUAUGGAGAAUGAUUAAAAGUUGUUCAAUGUUGGCAGUUGAUAGGUUCUAAAUGUGGAAUUUUAUGGUGUUUUUGCCUUCUGUUGUUUUGGAAUUUAAAGUGAUUAAGGUGAAAUAAUGGGGAUCUAGCAUCAAAUUUUGAAUAGCAUUCAACUUUAAUUCCAAAGUUUCUGAUUUCGGCUAAUUUUCUAAUUCCCAGCAAUAGUGUACUUCAUAUCAUUAGCUUUUGACGAUGCAUUUAUUAUCGCAUGGAUUUUGGCUUCAUUUUUUUGCUAUUUAUACUUUAUUUUGAAUGAAAUUUUUCAGAAAAAAAGAUUUUUUUGAUUUAAAUAAUGGCUACUCUGCCAUUCAUUGUCAUAGACCCAUUGUCAUGCCUACUCUGCCAUUCAUGGUCACAGAGUUACUUCCCAAAGCAGCUCAAAUUCCGUUAGUCCAUUGGUCAUGCUCCCAUAUCCUGAACCCCUAAUGCCAAUGUGUGUUGGUUACCCCAUCUCCAACGAUGCAGUUAUUACUAGUUAGACCCAUAUUAUUGCUUGUUGAUAUUAAUUUCAUGUCAUUCGCCAUUAUUGAUGCCCAUGAUACCACCACCAAGCUGAUUUGACAUCAUCGUUUCAUGUAUGAUUUUUUGAACAGAACUCUGGGAAUCAUUUGCAUCUGUGUCACUAGAAAGUGCUGGCUGCUGCAUUGCAAUGUUCGGUGAACUAGCAGAAUUCGUGUGCAUUCCGGUCGGUAAGCCACCAAGUGAAGUCUGUGGAGGAUCGUUAGAUGAUGAUGCCGUUGGAGACUGGAAAGGAGAAGGAUUGAGUUGCGGUUGUAGUAAGGUACUCAAGGAACACUAGGAGAUGGCAUCUGAACACCAUUUCCUCCGUAAGGACCAUUUGCGCUACUCUUCGGGUUUUUGCUAUCUCGAGUUCAUUGAGUUUUGAUGACGCAGCCCAGUUAUAUAUGGCACUAGUAGAGGAAGUUGCAGGAGCCGAAUUCAGUGGAUUAUUUACGUUUGCCAUGCCAUUUCUGGAAGGAAGUUGCAAUUAUUACAAAAAAUGUUUCAAUGUGGCCUAACCAUAUUGAAACGUGAUGACUUUUGCAAAAUUAUUUGAAAUUAGGAACUACUUGUGCCUUUUAGAAUUAGGUUAUGAUGAUGAAUUUGGAAAUUUGCAGUGAUUGUUUCCAUUUAGAUAGUGAAUUGAAUUACUUACUUGAAAGGGAAAUGUACUACAAGCAUGAAAAAUAAUUCAUAAAAUAUGCAAAAAGUGUAAAUCACUGCAGUGCAUCUGUUUAUUGAAGGAGACUAUUUAAUAUUUGUGACGCAAUUUUUGUGCUGCAUGAUUAUUUGCGGCACAAAGCAUAUUUUGUGGCACUAAUAUGUGUCACUAAUUGAGCCGCAAAUGCUUGCGACACAUUUAAACGAAGUGUCGUUUUCUUUUGUAACGGCUACUUUUGAGGCACAAAGGACUUGUGCCGCAAAAGCGCCGCAAAUACUUUUUUGCGGCGCUUUUUGGGCUUUUUGUGGCACAUUCUGGGCGUCGCAACAAGCUAUUUUUCUUGUAGUGUCCUGUAGGAUAUUUAUGUCCAUGUAUCACCACAACAGGGGUAGUUAAAUUCUUGCAUUACAAAUUUUUUUAAUUACAUUGCAUUUUUUUUAUUGGAUUACAUGUUUUUUAUUUCGUUGUUGGUGUUGGAAAAGCUAGUAAUUGACUGGUUUUAAAGGAGAGGCAAAGUGUAUAUUCCUUUUAUUCAGGUCGCCUAGGUGCAAUUAGUCCCUAGUUCAAGAGGGCAAAGUGUAGCCCAUUUAUCGUACGGUAGACUCUAUUGAUAUUGGCAUCUAGUAGAAACUAAAUAGUUUCCAGUGCUUACUUGUAAAAGGGUAUAUUUUUCAUCCUUUUGACAAGAGGUACUUUUAGAAACCUACCCAAGAUUUAUAUUAAUAUCACUUGGCACCUCUAAAAUUUUUAAAAAUCCCUAGCCUCCCCUAUAACCAUCCAUUUUGUAACAAUCUCACCCUUGUAUUAUUAAAAUACUCUUACAAUAAUCAUUUAAUGAGAAUAUCUUUCUACCAAUUCUACCCUUUUUUGCUGUUUUAUAUUGAAUUUUCUAUCAAUUUGAUUAUAAUAUACAAGGUUUACAUAUUUUGCCUAAAAAUUUUAUUUUUCAUAGUGUUUUGCAUAAAAAUUGCUAAAGUAGCGAAGAUAAUUUUGUCAAUUCAUAUAGUACACAAUAGUUAUUAAUGGUCCCAUCUCAUGACUAGUGCAGGACUUGAGUGAUAUUUUUGAAACUUCAAAGGUGUCAAAUGAUAUUACCAUAGGUUUCAGGAGAGGUUUCUGAAUUAUAUAUCGCUAACCAAAAGGGUUAAAGGCAUACACUUAUACGAGUCCAAGAGGCAAAAGUAUAUACCUAAUAAUUGGAGGGUUAAAAGUCAAUCAACUAUAUAAUUCGAGUGCCAUUCAAAUAUUUUGCCCAAAAAAAAUAGCCGGACCAAUGUAUGUAUGAUACUCUCCUAAACAUAGUAUUGUGGAAACAGCAAAAACAUAAGAAAUUUACCUUCCAUGAAUGAUAAAUAUGCUGGAGCUAAACUUGCCCCGCUGCCAAGAUUCAUUCAACUCCGUAGUUGUUCGGGCAACUUACCUCUCUUUAAUAUUUUAUGGUCCAAAUUGGGCGGUCCCAAGAUUGAAAAUAAAAUCUGUGAUCUAAUCGAAAGCGGCUGCAAUAUUAAACAAAUUUCGGCGAGUAGCUAUGAAGGACUAAAACUUAUCAGUAUUUCUUUUUCUUUUUUUUUUAAAUUAUCCAAAAGUUGUCAUUAGUUGAAUAGGCAAAUAUCUGAUGCUCUUGAAGAUUGAGACUUACGUGGUAGCAUGUUGUUGACAGUCGUAAAGAUUUAAUAGUUUCAAGGAAAUGUAAAGUUCCACAAAUUUUUUGCAUUUACCGCUAUAGUGGGACAACAAAAUGGACUUUACAAAUUGGGCACUUUGCCAACAAAAUUAGUUUGUAGUGCGACACGAUUUUCAAUUUCCUUUAAAAUUAAAUUUUGGCAUUAUAUAAUCACAGAUGCCCUCCCUCAAGACUUGAUCCUCAAAUCCUAUCUGACAAUUGUCCAUGAAAUGUUGUCCCUUGGAUCAAACUUUUCCUUUGGUAGAAUUAAUUGUGGUAUACCUAUUGAGAUAUUCGUGCACUCUGUCAAUUUUUUUUCAUAUCUUUAACUUGUAAAAUAUAGUACCUUUUUUUCUUCUUGACUUGUUCAUUUGUAUAGACGUCCACGGCAUCUCUUACUUUCUCAUAUAUUUCGUCUCAUUCGUAAUGGUUAAUAAGACCAAACCUAAUGUUGGUAGAAGUUUCUCCACUACUCAUGUGAGAGGUGACACUGUUUGAGUGAUGAUUUGUGUAUUCCACAAUUGAUACGCAUAUGCAAGUUUUCCGGUGCCAUCACAAUCAAAAGACAAAUAAAUUCCUUAGCACGCAAGUUCCACAAAGGUACAGUUUGAAAGUUGAUUUUUUCAAUCUGAAGACAAAUUGCAAGCUGACAGGUGACUAAGUACCCAAGCCUAACUCGAGGAUUAGGCCCUAAAGCUAUCUCACUUUAGAAGAGGAUCACAAUUUUCUCUUGGAUUCUCCACUAAUGCCUCCAAAUUAGAUAAGGCCAAGUUUAAAAAAAUGAAUUUCCUUGUCAAGGUCAUUUUCGGUUGUCCUUGUAUGCUUGUAAAACAGUGUCAUAGCUUCACCGAAUAGUUAAUUUCCAGGAUGAAAAGUCCAGGACUUUUCAUUUAAUUGAUUGAUCUAAACAGAUUAAAUAACACCUCAUCUUAGUUUGAUCCCUACUCUAUUUGCAAUCUGAAUUGAAUGCAUACCAAACAAGGUGUCCUUUCCUUCAAAAUUUCAAUGGCUUCCACAACUAAAUUCAUCUUACUAUCUUUAACCCUCUGUGUUCUCCAUCUUAACUUCUGUCAUGGACAAAAUGCUGUCAACGCAGGCUACUGGUUUCCAGAUAGUGGAAUUGAAAUCUCAGACAUUGAUUCCACUCUUUUCACUCAUCUGUUUUGUGCAUUUGCUGAUCUUGAUCCCGAAUCCAAUGAAGUCACCAUAUCCGCCUCAAAUGCUGGCCCCUUUUCACAAUUCACCGAAACAGUUCAACUCAAAAACCCUUCAGUUAAAACCCUUCUAUCCAUUGGUGGUGGAAAUUCUAAUAGAGAUGAUUUUGCUUCAAUGGCUAGUCAGCCAACUUCUCGCAAAUCAUUCAUUGAUUCUUCAAUAAACUUGGCCAGAGCCAACAGUUUCCACGGUCUAGACUUGGACUGGGAAUCCCCACAAUCCGAUCUUGAGAUGACGAACUUAGGGUCACUCCUGGAUGAAUGGCGAGCCGCAGUGGCAACUGAGGCCCAGAACUCAGGCAAGCCACAGCUGAUUUUAACAGCUGCAGUUUCAUAUGCAUCAAAGGUGGAUGGGUUAUAUCAAUAUCCUAUUACAUCAGUAUCCAGAAGCCUGGAUUGGAUAAAUCUUAUGGCUUAUGAUUUUUACGCUCCAGAUCGUCCAAGUACAUCUACCAGGUGUCAUGCUGCAUUAAAGGACCCUACAGGUCAAGCUAGUGGAAGUUCUGGCAUUGCAGACUGGGAAAAUGCUGGAGUCGGGGCAAAGAAGUUGGUUCUGGGCAUCCCAUUUUACGGAUAUGCUUGGCGAUUGGCAAACGCAAAUAACCAUGGGAUCCUGGCUCCGGCAAACGGAGCUGCUGGUCCGGAUAAUGGAGCCGAGCAGUACCGAGCUAUAAGGACCUUUGUAGCUCAAACCCCGGGGGCAGUUGUGGUGUAUAAUUCCACAUAUGUCUGCAAUUACUGCUAUGCUGGAACAACAUGGAUCGGUUAUGAUGAUACUCAAACAGUUUCCACCAAGGUUUCAUAUGCUAAACAAAAUGGACUUCUUGGGUACUUUGCUUGGCAUAUUGGAGCUGAUGACAACUUUGCACUAUCACGACAAGGUCAGUUAUUGACGUGAUUCCAAGAUAAGCAAUUCCCUGUCUGAUUAGAUUUAUCAUUUAUGGAGAAAAUGACCUCAUACGCCCUGAAAAAUUGAGUCUCUAACUGCACCUAAUAAUUGGCUAUGGAACAUUGUCCGUCGAGCUAAUAUUUUACUGUGCCUAGAAUUGAAUGUAUGUUUUUUGAAAUUUUUUCAUUUACAACAUUUAAGAACUACCCUUUUUAGCAAAUGAUAUUUGCAGUCCAUACAUAAUAAUUCUCCGGUAUUAUACUUAUUUUCAUGUAAUAAAAUGUUAAAUUGGAGUGUCAAAAACUAUUUUUAGAGCAGAAUUACCUUUUUUUCUAACUUGUUCACUUGUACAUACAUCCACAAUAUCUAAAAAAUUCUACAAUUCUCAUCUUUGCAAGUUGUAACUAACGCCUACUUUUUACUUGAAUGUAGCUAGCCAAGCAUGGGCAGAUGGAAGUGGUGCUGGAAGCCAUUUGACGUUGCUCCUAGCAAGCCAAAAGAGAGCUGGCAUUGUUGAAUAAUGAUAUCAUUGCUAUGUGCACUCUAUCAAAAGAUGAAUAAAUGUCUUACAGUUUGAAAAUUGAUGUUCAUCAUGUGAAGACUAAUUGCAAACUGACAGGUGGCUAAAUCAAGGAUUAGGCCUAAGCCUUUUUGACUUAGGUAAAGGCGAAGAGAGCAUAAAGAAAUUGAAACAAUGAAAAGAAUGCGUUCCCGUGUCAAGAUCAUCUCUUACAUUGACGGUCAUAGGAUAAUUGAUUGCCAGUAUGAAAAAUUCCAGGCUUUUCAAUUAAUUGAUUGGUCUUUAGAGGGAAUUGACAAUCGAGACACUGAUUAAUGGGAUAUAGAUUGUCAAAAAUUGUUAGUUGUUAACCAAACUUUGCCCGACUGAAGUAAGGGGUUCAUCACAAUUUGCCCAUAAAAGAUAAAAAACAAUAGAUAUCAACGGACAUUAUACUUUUCAACAUCCUAAAAGCAUGUGAAUUUUUGUUUUUUUUUCUUCCAGGUUUGCCUCAGAAUGAUUCCUAAACAAAGGCUACUUCUUUUUUUUGGUAAUAACAAAGGCUGCUUCAGCAGCCGUUAGGCCUAACAUUUGGAAGAUGGUCAAAGCAGCAAAAAGUCUCAAAAUUUAUCAAAACUAUACACAAUUGGACGAGUUGAUAUUGGAUUUUCACUUAAAUGGGUUAAUCCUAACUUGUCCAACUUUAGAUUGGGUUGAUUUUGAGUUGGAUCAUCUUAAACCCAUAACCUAAAUAUGACCCAACAUAUUAAUUAAUACAUUGUGAUACAUAAACUCUCUCUUAUACAUUUACAUACACAAAAAGAUUUUUUUUCACAUAUAUAAACACAUUUUCACAUAAAUAAAUAAAUAUAUUUUCACACACACUCACUUCUUAAUUUUCUUGGAAACACAUCAUAAAUAGAAUAAUAUUUUUAUAUUGCUUGUGUUGCGAAUUUUAGAUAAUAAAUUGUACAUUUAAAUAUAUUAGUAAAAAAAAUUAUUUACUUUAUACUUUUUAAUACUACUAAUUGAUUGAAACUUAUUUUUGUCACAAUUUAUUUAGCACUUUUAUUAUUCAUAUCUACUUUAUUGUAAGUUGUAAUAUUCUAUGUACACGAAUACCAAUUAGGAUGUUGAGCAAUUCAAUAAAAUUUCAACACGAAAUGGUAGAUAUUUGCCAAAUUUGGUAAAGGUAAGGGACAGUUGUUGAUUGUGAAUAAACAGAAGCAAGUAACAAUCGGAGAACAAAAAAAAAAAACUGGGAGAAAAACAAUGUACUCUUAAAAGGCAUAAUAAAUUAUUAUAGAUGUUGAACAAGUUUAAUUAAUGUUGUAAAAGUAAAAUAAGCAUGAGUUUUUAUUUCAAGUUUCUUUUAAAUAAAUAUUAAAAAAAUUGAUUGAAAACAUACAUAUGAAAAUUUUGAAUACAAAUUGGUCAAUGAAUUGUUAACACAUAUCCAAAUGCAAGUGGUUGGGCAUAUGUGUAUUGAAUCUUGUAUUUAUUAUUUUGAAUUAUUUUUUAACAAGUUGGGUAUUGGGUGUUCAAAUAAAAAAUCCAACCCCCCAAUAAAUAAGUUGGUUCGUUCUUUUUUAACCCAACAAAACUCAUAAUCCAACUAACCCAAUCCAUCCUUUAAAAUUAGUGGGCGCAUUGGGCGGGUUGUUGGGUUUUGGACUUUUUCGCCAGCUCUAAUCAAAACUCUUGCAUUAAUUCUUAAUUUAGCAUUUUCUAUUUUUGAAGGAAAAGAAAGUUAGCCAAAGCAGUAAAAGGAAUUUUGUUGAUCAUCUACCAUUGGCACUUCUAUUCUUGAAUGGCCAAGGGCAUCCAUGAGGGAUGGCUGAUAUUAUUUUGGCUUCAAUAACUAUAUUGCCUCUAAAAUUGCUUGCACGAUUUUCUGGCCACAUUGAUCUGUUUACAUUUUGUUUUAUUUGUUUGUUCCUUGUAUUUCCUGUAGGAUAUUUAUGUCAUGCAUCACCACAAUAGGGCUGUUAUAUCGUUGCAUUACUUUUUUUUUUUUGUUUUUUAGUUUCAUUGUUGGUGUCGGUAAAGCUAAUAUUUGACUGGUUCUAUAACGUACGGAUAGGCAGAGUGUAUAUUCCUUUUUAGUUCAGGCGGCCAAAGUGCAAUUACUCCCUAGUUCAAAGGGUAAAGUGUCAUUAAUCUUUUUCAAAAAUUUCCAACAUUUUAAUUUGAAUUCACCUGCAAAAAGAGAGUGAAAAUUGAGACAUAUUCAAACGAUAGACACAAAUAUGUGAAUUUCUAAGAUCGAGGAGAUGAAUUAUCAUUGAGUUUGUAUCUUUCGUAUAAGUCAUAUAUGCCGUUUAAAGUAAGGUUGUCGAUCUUCUAAUUUUUACCCAAUUUAUCUAUCAUAGAGUAUAGUGUAUUGAUAAUGACAUCUAGUAGAAACUAAAUAGUUUCAAGAACUUAAACUUACAUAAUAAGAGAAGGUGCGUUGAUUUGGAAAAAUAUAUAUAUAUAGCCCGACCAAUAUAUGUAUGAUACUCUCCUAAACAUGGUAUUGUGGGAACAGCAUAAACAUGAGAAAAAUUGCUCUCCAUAAAUGAUAAAUGUGCUGGAGGUAAACUUCCCUCGCUGCCAAGAUUCAUUCGACUCCGUAAUUGGUCGGGCAACUUAACUGUCUUUAAUAUUUUGUGGACCAAACUGGCAGGUCCCAAGAUUGAAAAUAACAUCUGUCAUUUAAUCGAAAGUGGCUGCAAUAUUACUAAACAAAUUUCAGUGUGUAGCUACUGAGUACUGAAAGUUGUCACUAGUUUAAUAGGCAAAUAUCUGAUACCCUUGAACAUUGAGACAUGUAGUAGCAUGUUGUUGGCAGCUGUAGAGAUUUAAUAGUUUGAAGGAAAUGUAUAGUUUCACAAUUUUUUGCAAAUACCGCUAUACUGGAAUAACAUGGAGUGUUGAUGAAAGUUUCAAAUGCUAACCAAAAUGGACUUUACAAAUUGGGAACUUUACCAACAAAAUUAGUUUGUAGUGUGACACGAUUUUCAAUUUCCUUUAAAAUUAAAUUUUGGCAUUAUAUAAUCACAGAUGCCCUCAAGACUUGAUCCUCAAAUCCUAUCUGACAAUUGUCUAUGAAAUGUUGUCCCUUGGAUCAAAUUUUUCCUUUGGUAGAAUUAAUUGUACUAUACUUGUUGAGAAAUUCGUGCACUCUGUCAAUUUUUUUUUCAUGUCUUUAGCUCGUAAAAUAGAGAACCUUUUUCUUGACUUCUUCGUUUGUAUAGACAUCCACGGUAUCUCUUAGUUUCUCAUAUCUUUCUGAUUCACAGUGGUUAAUAAGACUAAACCUAAUGCUGGUUGAAGGUUCUCCACUACUCAUAAAUAUAUAUAUAUUUUUGUCACAACGAUAGGAUUCCUAUAACCUAAUCUAGGAGGAGGGGGAGGGGGAGGGGGAGAGGGAAGGAGAAGGGACUCGAUGUGAGUAGAAACUCCAUUGAAGAUGGCUACUGAAUACCGUCACAUAUUGUGACAAAUUUUUGUCUCCACUGCUCAUAUGAGAGCUGACAAUUUUGAGUGAUGAUUUGUUUAUUCCACAAUAGAUAUAUUAGCAAGUUUUCUGGUGCCCAUCACAAUCAAAAGACAAAUAAAUUUCUUAGUACGCAAGUUCCACGAAAGCGACAGCUUGAAAGUUGGUUUUGAAGACAAAUUGCUAACUGACAGGUUACUAAGUACUCAAGCCUAACUCCAGGAUUAGGCCCUAAGGCUAUCUCACUUAGAAGCGGAUCACAUUUUUCUCUUAGAUUGUCCACUAAUUAUGCCUCUAAAUUAGGCAAGGCCAAGAGAGCACAGACCAAUGGAAAACUUAAAAAAAAAAAAAAUUGAAUUUCCUUGUCAAAAUCAUUUUCAGUUGACCGUUUAUGCUUGUAAAAAUAGUGCCAAAGCUUCACCGAAUAGUUAAUUUCCAGUAUGAAAAUUCCAGUGUCAUAGCUUCACUGAAUAGUUAAUUUCCAGUAUGAAAAAUUCCAGGACUUUUCAUUUAAUUGAUUGAUCUAAACAAAUUAAAUCAAACCACGUCUUAGUUUGAUCCCUACUCUAUUUGCAUUCUGAAUUGAAUAAAUACCAAACAAGGUGUCCGUUCCUUCAAAAUUUCCAUGGCUUCGACAAUCAAAUUCAUCUUACUAUCUUUAACUCUCUGUGUUCUCCAUCUUAACUUCUGUCAUGGACAGAAUGCUGUCAAAGCAGGCUACUGGUUUCCAGAUAGUGGAAUUGAAAUCUCAGACAUUGAUUCCACUCUUUUCACUCAUCUAUUUUGCGCAUUUGCUGAUCUUGAUUCCCAAUCCAAUAAAGUCACCAUAUCCUCCUCAAACGCUGGCCCCUUUUCACAAUUCACCAAAACAGUUCAACUCAAAAACCCUUCAGUUAAAACCCUUCUAUCUAUUGGUGGUGGAAGUUCUAAUAGGACUGCUUUUGCUUCAAUGGCUAGUCAACCAACUUCUCGCAAAUCAUUCAUUAAUUCCUCAAUAAAAUUGGCCCGAGCCAACAGUUUCCACGGUCUAGACCUGGACUGGGAAUACCCACAAUCCGCUUCUGAGAUGAAAAACUUGGGCUCACUCCUGGAUGAAUGGCGAGCCGCGGUGGCAACUGAGGCCAAGAACUCAGGCAAGCCACAGCUGAUUUUGACAGCUGCAGUUUCGUUUGCAUCAAAGGUGGAUGGAUUGUAUCAGUAUCCUAUUCCAUCAGUAUCCAGAAGCCUGGAUUGGAUAAAUCUUAUGGCUUAUGAUUUUUACGCUCCAGAUCGUCCAAGUACUUCUACCAGGUGUCACGCUGCAUUAAAGGACCCUUCUGGCCAAGCUAGUGGAAGUUCUGGCAUUGCAGAUUGGGAAAAUGCUGGAGUCGGGGCAAAGAAGUUGGUUCUCGGAAUCCCAUUUUACGGAUAUGCUUGGCGAUUGGUAAAAGCGAAUAAUCAUGGGAUCCUGGCUCCGGCAAAUGGAGCUGCUGGUCCGGAUAAUGGAGUCAAGCGGUACCAAGAUAUAAGGACCUUUGUAGCUCAAACCCCGGGGGCGGUUGUGGUGUAUAAUUCCACAUAUGUCUGCAAUUACUGCUAUGCUGGAACAACAUGGAUCGGUUAUGAUGAUAAUCAAACAAUUUCCACCAAGGUUUC